rnacentral:rRNA from 1 species
GAUGAACGCUGGCGGCGUGCCUAAUACAUGCCAGUCGAGCGAACAGACGCGGCGCUUGCUGCUCUGACGUUAGCGGCGGACGGGUGAGUAACACGUGGAUAACCUCCCUAUAAGACUGGGAUAACUUCGGGAAACCGGAGCUAAUACGGGAUAAUAUAUUGAACCGCAUGGUUGAAUAGUGAAAGACGGUUUUGCUGUCACUUAUCGAUGGAUCCGCGCCGCAUUAGCUAGUUGGUAAGGUAAAGGGUUACCAAGGCAACGAGGCGUAGCCGACCUGAGAGGGGGAUCGCCCGCACUCGAACGGGAACACGGUCCAGACGCCUACGGGAGGCAGCAGUAGGGAACCUUCCGCAAUAGGCGAAAGCCUGACGGAGCAGCGCCGCGUGAGUUAUAAAGGUCUUCGGAUCGGAAUACUCGGUUAUUAGGUAAGAACAUAUUUGUAAGUAACUGUGCACAGCUUGACGGUACCUAAUCAGAAAGCCACGGCUAACUACGUG